rnacentral:tRNA from 1 species
GGGGUUGUGGCUCAGUGGUAGAGUGGUUGCCUCACAUGAGUGAAAGACUGGGUUCAAUUCUCAGCACCACA